rnacentral:rRNA from 1 species
CCCUUAGAUUUUCUGGGCUGCACGCGUGCUACACUGAUAUUGCCAAUAUGUCAUUCUUAUCCGAAAUGGAUUGGGUAAUCAAGUAAUGAAAUUUCAUGCUUGGAAUCGGUAAUUGCAAUUUUAUCGUGAACGAGGAAUUCCUAGUAAGCACUAGUCAUCAGCUAAUGUUGAUUAUGUCCCUGCCCUUUGUACACACCGCCCGUCGCUACUACUGAUUGGGUGUUCAAGUGAGAUGCUUAGACCCUUGUUGCAUGGUUCAUUAUUGUGCUCCGAAAGGAAAAAGUUUCAAGCUUGAGUGUCUAGAGGAAGUAAAAGUCGUAACA